rnacentral:rRNA from 1 species
AUGCAUGCGCACGAAUCGUCUGGUUCACCUGAGCUUGGACGCGAAGGAGGAGAGGGCGGCGUCUCCACGGCCGCCGCCGCUGGCCGCCGACCGGAAGGCGGAGCGGCCGGAGCCGAACUCGUCGGAGCUGAUCACCGACGAAGACUUGGUCGACUUGGACCUGGACCUCGACCGCACCUGACGGGCACGGGCGCCGAAGAUGUCGUCGAAGAAGCCCUCCUCGGUGGGCACGGCCGCCGACGCCGGCCUGCCACGGCCGUCUCGGCGGCACAAGGCGUCGGCGCCACCGCCGUAGGAGUAGUACGGGUACUGGCCGGCCGUCGCGGCGUGGUAGUCAGCGGCACCGGCGUCGCUGCAGAAGCUGCUAAGGAGCACGGUGCGCGGCGGGCCGCCGAACACGUCCCGGAAGUCGUCGGGGGCGAGGCUCUUUUGGCCGACCGACGAGCGCUGCCGCGGCAGCACCGCGCCCAUCGUGCACCUCCAUGA